rnacentral:rRNA from 1 species
GAAGAGAGAGUUCAAGAGGACGUGAAACCGUUAUAGUGGAAGCGGAUGGAGCUGAAAUAUCCUAGUGCGUUGUGUAGCGUCGUCGGUCGCAAAUUGUCCGCUUUGUUCUGCGAAGUCAUGGUGGGCAACAUGACCCGACCCGUAUACCCGUGUACUAGAUCGGCGGAUGUUACACAUGCGCGCGGGUUGCGCUGAAUCGGUUGGGCUUGCCGUUCGAAGAGUUGUCAAAAAAUGAGCUGCUUGCAAGAGCGGUAUCCCAGGACUCGGGCGACGGAUAGGCCUAACUGCGUUGCAUGAGGCUGUUUAAAGUGGAAGUGAGAAGCCCAGCAAAGUUCUUUUAAUAUUUAAUAUUUAAGAGAAGCUUUGUCUCUUCUGACUUUUCUCAGCAGGUAUUCAGUGUCUAGUCAGUUAUCCAUUUGACCCGUCUUGAAACACGGACCAAGGAGUUUAAGGUGCACGCAAGUCAUUGAGCGGAAAACUCAAAGGCGAAAUGAAAGUAGGACACUUGGUGUCUGUGAUGCGAUCCGCUUUGUGUUGUAUUGUUUGAGCGGAGCAGCAUCGACCCAUGACCAGGACUUGUUCUGUUGUGGAGUCUGAGCGUACGCUUUGAGACCCGAAAGAUGGUGAACUAUGCCUGAACAGGACGAAGUCAGAGGAAACUCUGAUGGAAGUCCGAAGCGGUUCUGACGUGCAAAUCGAUCGUCUGAUUUGGGUAUAGGGGCGCAAGACUAAUCGAACCAUC